GGGGAUGUGGCUCAACGGUAGAGCACCUCCUUUGCAAGGAGGGGGUUAGGGGUUCGAGUCCCCUCAUCUCCA
rnacentral:tRNA from 1 species